CUUCCUUUCUGGUCGUGUGACUGCACAGCGUGGGUAUAAAAGACUAUAAGAUGCAUUUAGACACACAUACUGAGAAAUACAGAUGCUCUGCAAAUCUGAGGCACUGCUGGUUCACCGGCUACAGAAGUGAACUUCUGCAUUAUCUGAACUGCCUUAUCUGUGUACCCUUCUGUUUUCUCUGCUAUGUGCCCUAUUGCACGCAGUCAGGCAAAGGGAACUUCCUUUCCUCUGUGGACACUGCAGAACUAUGCAUAUGUAGUUUCGUGUUAUUUUAUAGAAGAAAGCAGCGUGAAAUAGUUUCUAAACCUACUCCCAGUGGAGACAACAGCAAAACGACCAUUAAUGUUGAUGGCUUUACAGUGAACACCUUCCUGUCUCAUCCUCAUGCAGAAUUUCAACAGAUCAGGCAACAAGGAAACAAUUUUAGAGCCAUUUUUUUAAUUAUUUUUUUUUACUGUUGCCAUCCAUACUUUGAAUUCUCUGCCGUGUAAUUUUCAGAGUCACACUUUUUUUCCAAGCAGAUAUAACGUUCUCUUAAAUUACAGCCACAGGGCUGCUUUCUUUACAGCCUUGUAUUUUGGCCCAUCCUGGGAAACCGGACCAGAUAGGAUGAGAGGUAACGGCCUUAAAUUGUGCCUGAGAGAGUUUGAGUUGGAUAUUAGGAACAGUUUCUGCUCAGAAAGAGCGGCGGGGCAUUGGAACAGACUGGCCAGGGAAGUGUGAGAGAUGUGGCACAGAGGGACGUGGUCUGUGGGCAUGGUGGGAUGGGCUGACGGUUGGACGAGAUGAUCUCAGUGGUCUUUUCCAGCCUUAACGAUUCUGUGCCAUCAGCAGUGUUCACCAGCCAUAUCACAUUCGCUUAUCUGAGGCAAAGAUACAGACUAGCGAAAUACCAGGUGUAACGUACGAGGGUUGCUCCGAAAGUAGUGCCUCCUGUUUUAUGAUGUUGGCCCACAACAUCAGAGGCAGAUGGUGGUGGUACCGCAGUAGAGGUUGAACCUUCCCACCAACGUUCUAUUACAUGUUGUCGCUGUGUGACAGAUGGCAGCAGAGGGGCAGCCUGACAACGUGGCAUCUAACACAGGCGCGUGCAUGAAGCAAAGGUGUGAAAUUGAACUCCUCCACGUGGGAAAGAAUUGCAGCCACUGACAUUCAUCGAUGCUCGCUGAACGUUUCUGGAGAGCAAAGAGGGGAUGUGAGCACAGCAGGCGGUGCAUUUCAGCAGCAGGGACAGUGAUCGCCUCUGCUAGUGCAGACUGCUAUGGGCGCAGCAUGCAGGCUCUUGUUUAUUGCUGGUGCAAAUGCAAUGCAUUUGCUAAUGGUGGUGACUGUUGGAAAAAAGCAUUUCGUAGCUGCGAGUUUUUUCCACCAAAUAAUGCUAUGGUGCUCUAUCCGUUGUAGUUCCCAUGGAAAUAAACAGGACGCAGUACUUAAUGAGAAACCUACCUGUACGAAGCCUUACUACAUUCCCGCAGAAAGCAAAAAGGUAAAACACCUUUAUUUUCAACCUGAAUUGCCGUUCCGCUCUCAAAACGAACCUGUGACUGAGCCCGCGGGAGCUGAUGUCUUUUGCUAACGAACAAACGCAGAGCACGACGUUCUGCAACCCUCCUAACAGCUCCCAUUCAAACAGCUCGACUGACAUCAACGGGGCCACUCGUGCGUUCCGGUGCCGUCCGGCAAGGAGGGCUGAUGACAGCAGGGAUGGCUGCAGGCCGGGAGACGCAGCGCCGCUUAAAAGCCAUCUAUUUUAAAACUUCUUCCUCGUGCGAAAGGCAGCGCAUCUUCAGGCAGCAGCUGUGCUGGUGGCGGCGGGAGGCGGCGAGCGGCUUCCUGCCCAGCGCCGCAGCAGCGGGACGACGAGGAGGAGGAGGAGGAGGAGGAGGAGAAUGGAGGCGGCGGCGGCCGUGCCGGGGGCGGUACGGGG
rnacentral:lncRNA from 1 species